CCUACGGGUGGCAGCAGUGAGGAAUAUUGGUCAAUGGGCGCGAGCCUGAACCAGCCACGUCGCGUGAGGGAGGACGGCCCUACGGGUUGUAAACCUCUUUUGACGGGGAGCAACGGGCGGCACGUGUGGCGCCACUGAGAGUACCCGGAGAAAAAGCAUCGGCUAACUCCGUGCCAGCAGCCGCGGUAAUACGGAGGAUGCGAGCGUUAUCCGGAUUUAUUGGGGUUAAAGGGUGCGUAGGCGGAUCGUUAGGUCAGUGGUCAAAUGUCGGGGCUCAACCCCGGCCUGCCGGCGGAACUGGGUGCCUUGAGUGGGCGAGAAGUAUGCGGAAUGCGUGGUGUAGCGGUGAAAUGCAUAGAUAUCACGCAGAACCCCGAUUGCGAAGGCAGCAUACCGGCGCCCUACUGACGCUGAGGCACGAAAGUGCGGGUAUCGAACAGGAUUAGAUACCCGAGUAGUC
rnacentral:rRNA from 1 species